AACGAACGCUGGCGGCAGGCCUAACACAUGCAAGUCGAACGCUCCGCAAGGGGAGUGGCGCACGGGUGAGUAACACGUGGGAACCUACCUUCUGGUACGGAACAACCAAGGGAAACCUUGGCUAAGACCGUAUACGACCUCCGGGUGAAAGAUUGAUCGCCGGAAGAGGGGCCCGCGUCCGAUUAGGUAGUUGGUGAGGUAACGGCUCACCAAGCCUUCGAUCGGUAGCUGGUCUGAGAGGAUGACCAGCCACACUGGGACUGAGACACGGCCCAGACUCCUACGGGAGGCAGCAGUGGGGAAUAUUGGACAAUGGGCGCAAGCCUGAUCCAGCCAUGCCGCGUGAGUGAUGAAGGCC
rnacentral:rRNA from 1 species